rnacentral:rRNA from 1 species
ACUAAAUAGACUACCCGGUAGUCCACGACCGUAAACGAUGGAUACUAGCUGUUCGGAGCAAUCUGAGUGGCUAAAGACGAAAAAGUGAUAAGUACUCCCACCGUGGGGAGUACGCACGCAAGUGUGAAACUCAAAGGAAUUGACGGGGGCCCGCACAAGCGGUGGAGCAUGUGGUUUAAUUCGAUGAUACGCGAGGAACCUUACCAGGGCUUAAAUGUAGAUUGACAGGACUGGAAACUAGUUUUUUCUUCGGACAAUUUACAAGGUGCUGCAUGGUUGUCGUCAGCUCGUGCCGUGAGGUGUCAGGUUAAGUCCUAUAACGAGCGCAACCCCUGUCGUUAGUUGCCAGCGAGUCAUGUCGGGAACUCUAACGAGACUGCCAGUGUAAACUGUGAGGAAGGUGGGGAUGACGUCAAAUCAUCACGGCCCUUACGUCCUGGGCCACACACGUGCUACAAUGGUAGGUACAGAGAGCAGCCACUGCGCGAGCAGGAGCGAAUCUAC